GAUGAACGCUGGCGGCGUGCCUAAUACAUGCAAGUCGAGCGAACAGACGAGGAGCUUGCUCCUCUGACGUUAGCGGCGGACGGGUGAGUAACACGUGGAUAACCUACCUAUAAGGCUGGGAUAACUUCGGGAAACCGGAGCUAAUACCGGAUAAUAUAUUUAACCGCAUGGUUCAAUAGUGAAAGACGGUUUUGCUGUCACUUAUAGAUGGAUCCGCGCCGCAUUAGCUAGUUGGUAAGGUAACGGCUUACCAAGGCAACGAUGCGUAGCCGACCUGAGAGGGGGAUCGGGCACACUGGAACUGAGACACGGUCCAGACUCCUACGGGAGGCAGCAGUAGGGAAUCUUCCGCAAUGGGCGAAAGCCUGCCGGAGCAACGCCGCGUGAGUGAUGAAGGUCUUCGGAUCGUAAAACUCUGUUAUUAGGGAAGACCAAAUGUGUAAGUAACUAUGCACGUCUUGACGGUACCUAAUAAGAAAGCAACGGCUAACUACGUG
rnacentral:rRNA from 1 species